rnacentral:tRNA from 1 species
UCCCUGCUGGCAGAGACGGUAAUGAAUCUGCUCGAAAUGCAGGAGACCUGGGUUCCAUCCCUGGGUCGGGAA